GGUGCAUCGUCGGAGGCGAGUGUCUCAAGGGCGGCUCAUCCGGGGAGCGUGUCGGCUCCGCAGGCACGAAAUGCAGCAACGAAAUUAAAUUCGUCCGCGCUCCGUGCCGCCGAGGGACGCGGCG
rnacentral:SRP_RNA from 14 species